rnacentral:rRNA from 1 species
CGUACACUCCUACGGGAGGCAGCAGUGGGGAAUCUUGCGCAAUGGGCGAAAGCCUGACGCAGCCAUGCCGCGUGAAUGAUGAAGGUCUUAGGAUUGUAAAAUUCUUUCACCGGGGACGAUAAUGACGGUACCCGGAGAAGAAGCCCCGGCUAACUUCGUGCCAGCAGCCGCGGUAAUACGAAGGGGGCUAGCGUUGCUCGGAAUUACUGGGCGUAAAGGGAGCGUAGGCGGACAUUUAAGUCAGGGGUGAAAUCCCGGGGCUCAACCUCGGAAUUGCCUUUGAUACUGGGUGUCUUGAGUAUGAGAGAGGUGUGUGGAACUCCGAGUGUAGAGGUGAAAUUCGUAGAUAUUCGGAAGAACACCAGUGGCGAAGGCGACACACUGGCUCAUUACUGACGCUGAGGCUCGAAAGCGUGGGGAGCAAACAGGAUUAGAAACCCUAGUAGUCCCAU